rnacentral:rRNA from 1 species
AACGAACGCUGGCGGCAGGCCUAACACAUGCAAGUCGAACGGGGGUAGCAAUACAUCAGUGGCGCACGGGAGAGUAACGCGUGGGAACCUACCUUUUGGUUCGGAAUAACGUCGGGAAACUGACGCUAAUACCGGAUAAGCCCUACGGGGGAAAGAUUUAUCGCCGAAAGAUGGGCCCGCGUUAGAUUAGCUUGUUGGUGAGGUAACGGCUCACCAAGGCUAAGAUCUAUAGCUGGUCUAAGAGGAUGAUCAGCCUCACUGGGACUGAGACACGGCCCAGACUCCUACGGGAGGCAGCAGUGGGGAAUAUUGGACAAUGGGGGCAACCCUGAUCCAGCCAUGCCGCGUGAAUGAUGAAGGCCUUCGGGUUGUAAAGUUCUUUUGGCGGGGACGAUGAUGACGGUACCCGCAGAAUAAGCUCCGGCUAACUUCGUGCCAGCCGCCGCCGUAA